GAUGAACGCUGGCGGCGUGCCUAAUACAUGCAAGUCGAGCGAACAGACGAGGAGCUUGCUCCUCUGACGUUAGCGGCGGACGGGUGAGUAACACGUGGAUAACCUACCUAUAAGACUGGGAUAACUUCGGGAAACCGGAGCUAAUACCGGAUAAUAUAUUGAACCGCAUGGUUCAAUAGUGAAAGACGGUUUUGCUGUCACUUAUAGAUGGAUCCGCGCCGCAUUAGCUAGUUGGUAAGGUAACGGCUUACCAAGGCAACGAUGCGUAGCCGACCUGAGAGGGUGAUCGGCCACACUGGAACUGAGACACGGUCCAGACUCCUACGGGAGGCAGCAGUAGGGAAUCUUCCGCAAUGGGCGAAAGCCUGACGGAGCAACGCCGCGUGAGUGAUGAAGGUCUUCGGAUCGUAAAACUCUGUUAUUAGGGAAGAACAAAUGUGUAAGUAACUAUGCACGUCUUGAUGGUACCUAAUCAGAAAGCCACGGCUAACUACGUG
rnacentral:rRNA from 1 species